rnacentral:rRNA from 1 species
CGGGAGAAUUGCUAGCUUGCUAAUAAUUCUCUAGUGGCGCACGGGUGAGUAACACGUGAGUAACCUGCCCCCAAGAGUGGGAUAGCCCCGGGAAACUGGGAUUAAUACCGCAUAAAAUCGCAAGAUUAAAGCAGCAAUGCGCUUGGGGAUGGGCUCGCGUCCUAUUAGUUAGUUGGUGAGGUAACGGCUCACCAAGGCGAUGACGGGUAGCCGGUCUGAGAGGAUGUCCGGCCACACUGGAACUGAGACACGGUCCAGACACCUACGGGUGGCAGCAGUCGAGAAUCAUUCACAAUGGGGGAAACCCUGAUGGUGCGACGCCGCGUGGGGGAAUGAAGGUCUUCGGAUUGUAAACCCCUGUCAUGUGGGAGCAAAUUAAAAAGAUAGUACCACAAGAGGAAGAGACGGCUAACUCUGUGCCAGCAGCCGCGGUAAUACAGAGGUCUCAAGCGUUGUUCGGAAUCACUGGGCGUAAAGCGUGCGUAGGCGGUUUCGUAAGUCGUGUGUGAAAGGCGGGGGCUCAACCCCCGGACUGCACAUGAUACUGCGAGACUAGAGUAAUGGAGGGGGAACCGGAAUUCUCGGUGUAGCAGUGAAAUGCGUAGAUAUCGAGAGGAACACUCGUGGCGAAGGCGGGUUCCUGGACAUUAACUGACGCUGAGGCACGAAGGCCAGGGGAGCGAAAGGGAUUAGAUACCCCUGUAGUCCUGGCAGUAAACGGUGCACGCUUGGUGUGCGGGGAAUCGACCCCCUGCGUGCCGGAGCUAACGCGUUAAGCGUGCC